GAGAAGGGCGUUUGGUGAAUGCCUAGGCAGUAAGAGGCGAUGAAGGACGUGAUACUCUGCGAUAAGCCAUGAGGAGCUGAGAAUAAGCUUUGAUCCACGGAUUUCCGAAUGGGGCAACCCACUUGAUUGUUUAUUAUUGUCGGCCGCAAGGUCGAUCAAUAGUAGGCAAAACCAAGUACUUAUAGACUGAAUACAUAGGUUUAUAAGAGCAAACCCGGGGAACUGAAACAUCUAAGUACCCGGAGGAAAGGACAGCAAUAGCGACUCCCCUAGUAGUGGCGAGCGAACGGGGACUAGCCGAGCCGAGAUCGUGACCAGAAUGUGCUGGAAAGCACAGCCAUAGCGGGUGACAGCCCCGUAUGGGAAGCGUGAUCGGACGUAUCAAGUAGGGCGGGACACGUGAAAUCCUGUCUGAAGAUCGGAGGACCACCUUCGAAGGCUAAGUACUCCUUACUGACCGAUAGUGAACCAGUACCGUGAGGGAAAGGCGAAAAGAACCCCUGUGAGGGGAGUGAAAUAGAUCCUGAAACCGCAUGCAUACAAACAGUCGGAGCCUCUGCGAAGGGGUGACGGCGUACCUUUUGUAUAAUGGGUCAGCGACUUACAUUCAGUGGCAAGCUUAACCGAUUAGGGCAGGCGUAGCGAAAGCGAGUCCGAACAGGGCGAUUCAGUCGCUGGGUGUAGACCCGAAACCAAGUGAUCUAUCCAUGGCCAGGAUGAAGGUGCCGUAACAGGUACUGGAGGUCCGAACCCACUACUGUUGCAAAAGUAGGGGAUGAGCUGUGGAUAGGGGUGAAAGGCUAAACAAACUUGGAAAUAGCUGGUUCUCUCCGAAAACUAUUUAGGUAGUGCCUCGUGUAUCACCUUCGGGGGUAGAGCACUGUCAUGGUUGAGGGGUCCAUUGCGGAUUACCUCGCCAUAGCAAACUCCGAAUACCGAAGAGUGCAAUCACGGGAGACAGACAUCGGGUGCUAACGUCCGGUGUCAAGAGGGAAACAACCCAGACCGCCAGCUAAGGUCCCCAAACAUGGCUAAGUGGGAAACGAAGUGGG
rnacentral:rRNA from 13 species